AUUUGGACUCUGGACUCAGUAGUCUAGUGGUUUACGUGGUGGCGUUUGACACGAAACGGACUGAGUUCGAAUCCCACU
rnacentral:precursor_RNA from 1 species